UGGGGAAUAUUGCACAAUGGGCGCAAGCCUGAUGCAGCCAUGCCGCGUGUGUGAAGAAGGCCUUCGGGUUGUAAAGCACUUUCAGCGGGGAGGAAGGCGUUAAGGUUAAUAACCUUGGCGAUUGACGUUACCCGCAGAAGAAGCACCGGCUAACUCCGUGCCAGCAGCCGCGGUAAUACGGAGGGUGCAAGCGUUAAUCGGAAUUACUGGGCGUAAAGCGCACGCAGGCGGUCUGUCAAGUCGGAUGUGAAAUCCCCGGGCUCAACCUGGGAACUGCAUUCGAAACUGGCAGGCUAGAGUCUUGUAGAGGGGGGUAGAAUUCCAGGUGUAGCGGUGAAAUGCGGAGAGAUCUGGAGGAAUACCGGUGGCGAAGGCGGCCCCCUGGACAAAGACUGACGCUCAGGUGCGAAAGCGUGGGGAGCAAACAGG
rnacentral:rRNA from 1 species